CCUAAUCAAGCAAAACUAACCAACACAAUAUUUUGUUUAGGAGUAUAUACUACUAAAAAAGGAGGAGGAUAUAAACACAAAAUUCAGGAUGGCAGCUACUUCAGGGCAGGAGGCAAAAUUACAGUCUGGGAAAAUAACAUGAUAUGGAAAACAGCAGUAGAGGUUUCUGCCACCAAUUUGGCAACACAUUGGCUGCCUCCCAGAUCUACCACCCUGAAAUGAAAAGAAGCCUUUCGAGAUGCUUAUUAUCUCUGAGUCAAACGGAAAAGAAUCUUAUGGACGCCACCUCAGAUUUUAGACCAGCAGAUAUGGGGGGACAUCAAUCACAUAGAGGCACACCUCAUUUUACCGCACUCAACUCACAGAUGGGUAGUUUUGUUUUGUUUUUAACAAAUUAAAGGUUUUGUGGCAACCCUGCAUCAAGCAAGGGUAUCAGUGCCAUUUUUCCAACAGCA
rnacentral:lncRNA from 10 species